ACAACACAGCAAGGCAGCAACACAUGACAACACAGCAAGGCAGCAACACAUGACAACACAGCAAGGCAGCAACACAUGACAACACAGCAAGGCAGCAACACAUGACAACACAGCAAGGCAGCAACACAUGACAACACAGCAAGGCAGCAACACAUGACAACACAGCAAGGCAGCAACACAUGACAACACAGCAAGGCAGCAACACAUGACAACACAGCAAGGCAGCAACACAUGACAACACAGCAAGGCAGCAACACAUGACAACACAGCAAGGCAGCAACACAUGACAACACAGCAAGGCAGCAACACAUGACAACACAGCAAGGCAGCAACACAUGACAACACAGCAAGGCAGCAACACAUGACAACACAGCAAGGCAGC